rnacentral:rRNA from 1 species
UCUACGGGCGGCAGCAGUGAGGAAUAUUGGUCAAUGGUCGGGAGACUGAACCAGCCAAGCCGCGUGAGGGAGGAAGGUACAGAGUAUCGUAAACCUCUUUUGUCAGGGAACAAAGACUGGGAAGAGUCCCCGGAUGAGUGUACCAGAAGAAAAAGCAUCGGCUAACUCCGUGCCAGCAGCCGCGGUAAUACGGAGGAUGCGAGCGUUAUCCGGAUUUAUGGGGUUAAAGGGGUGCGCAGUCGGUCUGUUAAGUCAGUGGUCAAAGCCCGGGGCUCAACCCCGGCACGCCGUUGAAACUGGCAGUCUCGAGUUGAAGAGAAGUAUGCGGAAUGCGCGGUGUAGCGGUGAAAUGCAUAGAUAUCGCGCAGAACUCCGAUUGCGAAGGCAGCAUGCCGGCUCCACACUGACGCUGAGGCACGAAAGCGUGGGUAUCGAACAGGAUUAGAUACCCUUGUAGUC